rnacentral:rRNA from 1 species
GACGAACGCUGGCGGCGUGCCUAAUACAUGCAAGUCGAACGAGAGCGCCCGGUGCUUGCACUGGUCAAUCUAGUGGCGAACGGGUGAGUAACACGUGGGUAACCUGCCCAUCAGAGGGGGAUAACAUCCGGAAACGGAUGCUGAAACCGCAUAGGUCUUCGAGCCGCAUGGCUUGAAGAGGAAAAGAGGCGCAAGCUUCUGCUGAUGGAUGGACCCGCGGUGCAUUAGCUAGUUGGUGAGGUAACGGCUCACCAAGGCCGUGAUGCAUAGCCGACCUGAGAGGGUGAUCGGCCACAUUGGGACUGAGACACGGCCCAAACUCCUACGGGAGGCAGCAGUAGGGAAUCUUCCGCAAUGGACGCAAGUCUGACGGAGCAACGCCGCGUGAGUGAAGAAGGUUUUCGGAUCGUAAAACUCUGCUGUUAGAGAAGAACAAGUGCUAGAGUAACUGUUAGCGCCUUGACGGUAUCUAACCAGAAAGCCACGGCUAACUACGUG